AACGAACGCUGGCGGCAUGCCUAACACAUGCAAGUCGAACGAGACCUUCGGGUCUAGUGGCGCACGGGUGCGUAACGCGUGGGAACCUGCCCUUAGGUUCGGAAUAACUCCCCGAAAGGGGUGCUAAUACCGGAUAAUGUCUUCGGACCAAAGAUUUAUCGCCUUUGGGGGGGCCCGCGUUGGAUUAGCUGGUUGGGACGGUAAAAGCAUACCAAGGCGACGAUCCAUAACUGGUCUGAGAGGAUGAUCAGCCACACUGGGACUGAGACCCGGCCCGGACUCCUACGGGAGGCAGCAGUGGGGAAUAUUGGACAAUGGGCGAAAGCAUGAUCCAGCAAUGCCGCGUGAGUGAUGAAGGUCUUAGGGUUGUAAAGCUCUUUUACCCGGGAUGAUAAUGACGGUACCGGGAGAAUAAGCUACGGCUAACUCCGUG
rnacentral:rRNA from 1 species